CCUACGGGGGGCUGCAGUGGGGAAUUUUGGUCAAUGGGGGCAACCCUGAUCCAGCCAUGCCGCGUGCGGGAAGAAGGCCUUCGGGUUGUAAACCGCUUUUGUCGGGGAAGAAACGGUCUGCGCUAAUACCGCGGACUAAUGACGGUACCCGAAGAAUAAGCACCGGCUAACUACGUGCCAGCAGCCGCGGUAAUACGUAGGGUGCAAGCGUUAAUCGGAAUUACUGGGCGUGGCUUUUCAACACGCGUCUGAAAUCCCCGGGCUCAACCUGGGAACUGCAUGUGUGACUGCAUGGCUGGAGUGCGGCAGAGGGGGAUGGAAUUCCGCGUGGAGCAGUGAAAUGCGUAGAUAUGCGGAGGAACACCGAUGGCGAAGGCAAUCCCCUGGGCCUGCACUGACGCUCAUGCACGAAAGCGUGGGGAGCAAACAGGAUUAGAUACCCUUGUAGUC
rnacentral:rRNA from 1 species